rnacentral:rRNA from 1 species
UACGUAGGGGGCUAGCGUUGUCCGGAUUUAUUGGGCGUAAAGAGCGUGUAGGCGGCCAGGUAGGUCUGCUGUGAAAACUCGAGGCUCAACCUCGAGACGUCGGCGGAAACCAUCUGGCUAGAGUCCGGAAGAGGAGAGUGGAAUUCCUGGUGUAGCGGUGAAAUGCGCAGAUAUCAGGAAGAACACCCGUGGCGAAGGCGGCUCUCUGGGACGGUACUGACGCUGAGGAGCGAAAAGCGUGGGUAGCAAACAGG